rnacentral:rRNA from 1 species
UACGGAGGGGGCUAGCGUUGUUCGGAAUUACUGGGCGUAAAGCGCGCGUAGGCGGCUUUGUAAGUUAGAGGUGAAAGCCCGGAGCUCAACUCCGGAACUGCCUUUAAGACUGCAUCGCUAGAAUUGUGGAGAGGUAAGUGGAAUUCCGAGUGUAGAGGUGAAAUUCGUAGAUAUUCGGAAGAACACCAGUGGCGAAGGCGACUUACUGGACACAUAUUGACGCUGAGGUGGCGAAAAGCGUGGGGAGCAAACAGG